rnacentral:sRNA from 1 species
CAGAAUAGAUCAAAGGCUAAGGUCGCGCCGUCCUGGCGGCAGUCUUAAAGCACGACGUCCUGUCGU